GGACAACCUACCCUAAGGAGGGGGAUAACCCCGGAAAACUGGGGAUAAUACCCCAUAGACUACAGAAACUGGAAUGUUCUGUAAUCGAAAGGUCCGCCGCCUUAGGAUGGGUCUGCGGCUGAUUAGGUUGUUGUUGGGGUAACGGCCCAACAAGCCUGUAAUCAGUACGGGUUGUGGGAGCAAGAACCCGGAGAUGGAUUCUGAGACACGAAUCCAGGCCCUACGGGGCGCAGCAGGCGCGAAAACUUUACAAUGCGAGAAAUCGUGAUAAGGGAACCCCGAGUGCCCGUAAAUUCGGGCUGUUAAUCUGUGUAAAAAGCAGGUGGAGAAAGGGCCGGGCAAGACCGGUGCCAGCCGCCGCGGUAAUACCGGCGGCUCGAGUGGUGGCCACUAUUACUGGGCUUAAAGCGUUCGUAGCUGGUUUGUUAAGUCUCUGGGGAAAUCUUCCGGCUUAACCGGAAGGCGUCUCAGGGAUACUGGCAGACUAGGGACCGGGAGAGGUGAGGGGUACUCCAGGGGUAGGAGUGAAAUCCUGUAAUCCUUGGGGGACCACCUGUGGCGAAGGCGCCUCACCAGAACGGCUCCGACAGUGAGGGACGAAAGCUGGGGGAGCAAACCGGAUUAGAUACCCGGGUAGUCCCAGCUGUAAACGAUGCGCGUUAGGUGUAUCAGUGACCACGAGUCACUGAGGUGCCGAAGAGAAAUCGUGAAACGUGCCGCCUGGGAAGUACGGUCGCAAGGCUGAAACU
rnacentral:rRNA from 1 species